rnacentral:rRNA from 1 species
UACGUAGGGGGCGAGCGUUGUCCGGAUUCAUUGGGCGUAAAGAGCUCGUAGGCGGUUCAGCAAGUCGGGUGUGAAACCUCCAGGCUCAACCUGGAGACGCCACCCGAUACUGCUGUGACUUGAGUCCGGUAGGGGACCACGGAAUUCCUGGUGUAGCGGUGGAAUGCGCAGAUAUCAGGAGGAACACCAACGGCGAAGGCAGCUCGCUGGGACGGUACUGACGCUGAGACGCGAAAGCGUGGGGAGCAAACAGG